GACGAACGCUGGCGGCGUGCCUAAUACAUGCAAGUCGAACGCUAAAGCGCUGAGCUUGCUCUUCUUGGGUGAGUUGCGAGCGGGUGAGUAACGCGUAGGUCACCUGCUUUGUUUCGGGGGAUAAUUAUGAAAAACGAUAUAUAAUACCACAUAACAAUGGAUUACACAUUUCGGUUAUUAGAGUGGGGCAGUUGGUGCACGACAAGGUGGACCUGCGUUGUGUUAGCUGGUAGGUGAGGUACUGGCUCACCUAGGCGACGAUACAUAGCCGGACUGAGCGGGUGGGUGGCCACACUGGGAGGGGGACACGGCCCAGAGUCCCACGGGAGGGAGCAGGAGGGCAUCUUGGGCAAUGGGGGGAAAACUGACCGAGCAACGCCGCGGGAGGGAAGAAGGUCUUCGGGUCGUAAAGGUCUGUUGUAAGUGAAGAACGGGCGUGAGAGUGGAAAGUUGAGAGUGUGACGGUAGCUGACAAGAAAGCACCGGCUAACUACGUG
rnacentral:rRNA from 1 species